UACGGAGGAUGCAAGCGUUAUCCGGAAUGAUUGGGCGUAAAGCGUCCGCAGGUGGCUAUGUAAGUCUGCUGUUAAAGAGUGAGGCUCAACCUCAUAAGAGCAGUGGAAACUACAUAGCUAGAGUGCGUUCGGGGCAGAGGGAAUUCCUGGUGUAGCGGUGAAAUGCGUAGAUAUCAGGAAGAACACCGGUGGCGAAAGCGCUCUGCUGGGCAGUUGCUGACACUGAGGCGCGACAGCGUGGGGAGCAAACAGG
rnacentral:rRNA from 1 species